AACAGAAAAUACCCUGUUUGACCAGUAACUGGUGAAUCAAUUUAAAGAGUCUCAAUCAGUGAAGCCUCUGCUUAGAGGGCAGAAUGGACCUUACAGUCUGGAGACUGUUGAUUCAUACAGUAUAUGGACGCCGCCUUCAUCUGACUAUAACUGUGAUACCCCAGGAGACAGUAAACAACUCAGUGUUGUUGGUUGGGUUCAAAAACCACCAGGGAUUCUUGGUUUGUCAAUGGACAGCAACCCACUCAGCUCAACAGACACUUGUGAGUCUGGUGCGUCCUCAGGGUCAUCCAUCUUUGGAGAUUCCUGUUUCAGAGAGAUGUAAAUAACAAGGAAAAAUUCUUCACACUGAAGUGACGUGUUUCCUGAAGAACGAGAGAAAACUUCAAAUAAAAUAGAAAAAGUCUGGUUUUGAGCCACAACGCUGCACUGAUCCUCUCACCACCCACAGUGAAGACAAUGUCAUCCAUCUGUUUCUGACACCAUGAGAAACAGAGGACACUGGAGUCUCAAGAAGACCUUAAGAGACUGAGGCGAGAUCUUGUACUGUAUGUCAUGGCAAAGAGGAUGUUUUCUUUGCAGGCAAAUGGUCAUCUAAUGAGUCACUUUUAAUGUCACAGUGGUUUCUAUAUGCAAAUAUGCUAUUACUAAUCUUUUUUUAUGUACAGUUCCAAAAUUUGAGCCAGCAUGGGAGGGGGGUGGGGGUAGGUGAGGAGUCAUUUGGGGGAACACACACUUCCUUAUGAAACAUGGGUUUGUCAAAGCCAUCUUCCAUUUUUGAUUAUUCAAGUCCACAAAACCUACAGGAGGGGUAGUAGUGAUGUAGCUCACCCUGACAACACUACAUGGGAGUAUUUUUAAUUAGUGAAAAUGCAAUGAUUGAGCCAAUUGAAUAUGAGAUACUAUUCAAGAAAAAGUAGGUAUUACCAUAAGAUAUUUUUAUUUUUGAGAAAAAUAGUCCUUAAUUUUUUUCUUUGUAUCCCCUUUUAUACAUUUUGCAUUUUUUUAUUCUUUGACAACAACAAUAUAACUCAGGCUUAGUCUCAUGAUAUCUGGUCUAUGGAGCUCAACCAAGACUUCAAGACAAGUUAUUGUCGUUAAUCAGGACUCCUGUACUGGAUCUUUGCUUUCUGUCCUACUAUAUAUGCCAAUUCAUGAGCAAAUCCAAUUCUUCAGGCCCAAUAGUUUCAUUCCAGCUCAGAUGUAACUUGCUUGUUCAAGCUAAUUAUCUGGACAAGAACCCUGUUCACAUGUCAAUGUUUUAGGUCUUAAUUCCUAAAAAUUGCUAAAUGAAACGUACCCAUAAGAUGUGUUGCCAAGGGCUGUUCAGCUCCUGAGAUUAGUGUAAUUACAGUUUAUGCUUAAAGCCCUUCUCUUGCCUCUUUAAUUGUCACAACAUUAGAGAAAUUGUGAAAACGCUUUUUUAAAUACUUCCUCCUCCUUGCACAAGUGAUCUGUACACUUUAUUAGUGUUUUCGUCUCUACUGUUGGGUCCCAGCUCUCUUUGAAGUUCCUUCUGGGAUAAAAGAAAAAUCCUGCCGUGAAGCCAGCUCUAUACUGGGGUAAUCACAGCCUUCUGAUCCUCCUAGGAAGUAAUUAAUAUGUUGGAGGGAAAUCUAAACAUGCGUUAAAGUCCAUCCGCAAACAAGGAAAUAACACUCUUCUUCUCACUGUUUUUGAAGCAAGUUUUUUUUUUUAAUAUUUCCAAAACAAUGAAACAUUCAUUGUUGUUUGGUAUAUAUUUGAUUUGAAUUCAACAAUAUUUGAAAAAAGAAAUAUCAUCUAAGCAGUAGUUUUAUUUAAAUUUCACUGACAUGCAAAACAGAUGCCUGUAGAUCUAUAAGUAAGACUUCCAGAUAACUUUUUAGUAUUCCGACAUUAUUUUUUUCAAUAUUUAGUGUCCCCCGAUAUCCAUUUUAGCCAUUAGCUUAACAAACUUUCAACUUUUAAUAUUCAAGCAAUGCUUAAAUUCACUUUGGAAAGGAGGAUCAUUAUGGGUAUUUUUUCUCUGCCAAAAAUAAAUGUAUAGUUAUUUCCAUUAACACAGAUCACAAGCAAAUACAGGUCAAAAUCUAAAAGGCAAAGCAUACCUGCUUUGAAAAGAUAUAGAUUGAGAAUUUUUACUCAUCAAAUGCUCUCUGAGGCUAAUUUGAAAAGUGAAACUUCUAAAAACAUUGCUUAGUUUUUCUUGUCAUAUUACCCAAACAAAUCU